rnacentral:rRNA from 1 species
UACAGAGGUCUCAAGCGUUGUUCGGAUUCAUUGGGCGUAAAGGGUGCGUAGGCGGCGCGGUAAGUCGGGUGUGAAAUCUUGGAGCUUAACUCCGAAACUGCAUUCGAUACUGCCGUGCUUGAGGACUGGAGAGGAGACUGGAAUUCCUGGUGUAGCGGUGAAAUGCGCAGAUAUCAGGAGGAACACCGGUGGCGAAGGCGGGUCUCUGGGCCGAAAUUGACGCUGAGGAGCGAAAGCGUGGGGAGCAAACAGG